rnacentral:rRNA from 1 species
CCUACGGGAGGCAGCAGUGGGGAAUCUUGCGCAAUGGGGGCAACCCUGACGCAGCCAUGCCGCGUGAAUGAUGAAGGCCUUAGGGUUGUAAAGUUCUUUUGCCCGUGACGAUGAUGACGGUAACGGGAGAAUAAGCUCCGGCUAACUUCGUGCCAGCAGCCGCGGUAAUACGAAGGUGGCUAGCGUUGUUCGGAAUUACUGGGCGUAAAGCGCGCGCAGGCGGUUCGAUAAGUUAGGGGUGAAAUCCCUGGGCUCAACCCAGGAAUGGCCUUUAAGACUGUCGAGCUAGAGGACGAGAGAGGUGAGUGGAAUUCCCAGUGUAGAGGUGAAAUUCGUAGAUAUUGGGAAGAACACCGGUGGCGAAGGCGGCUCACUGGCUCGUUUCUGACGCUGAGGCGCGAAAGCGUGGGGAGCAAACAGGAUUAGAUACCCUGGUAGUCCACGCCCUAAACGAUGAGUGCCAGGUGUCGGGAAGCUUAGCUUCUCGGCGCCGCAGCUAACGCCUUAAGCACUCCGCCUGGGGAGUACGGCCGCGAAGGUAAACUACAAAGGAAUUGACGG